rnacentral:rRNA from 1 species
GACGAACGCUGGCGGCGUGCUUAACACAUGCAAGUCGAACGGAAAGGCCCUGCUUUUGUGGGGUGCUCGAGUGGCGAAAGGGUGAGUAACACGUGAGUAACCUGCCCUUGACUUUGGGAUGACUUCAGGAAACUGGGGCUAAUACCGGAUAGGAGCUCCUGCUGCAUGGUGGGGGUUGGAAAGUUUCGGCGGUUGGGGAUGGACUCGCGGCUUAUCAGCUUGUUGGUGGGGUAGUGGCUUACCAAGGCUUUGACGGGUAGCCGGCCUGAGAGGGUGACCGGCCACAUUGGGACUGAGAUACGGCCCAGACUCCUACGGGAGGCAGCAGUGGGGAAUAUUGCACAAUGGGCGGAAGCCUGAUGCAGCAACGCCGCGUGCGGGAUGACGGCCUUCGGGUUGUAAACCGCUUUCGCCUGUGACGAAGCGUGAGUGACGGUAAUGGGUAAAGAAGCACCGGCUAACUACGUG